CAUGAACGCUGGCGGCGUGCUUAACUCAUGCAAGUCGAGCGAGUGAGUUCUUCGGAACGAUCUAGCGGCGGACGGGUGAGUAACACGUGGGCAACCUGCCUCAUAGAGGGGAAUAGCCUCCCGAAAGGGAGAUUAAUACCGCAUAACAUCGUUGAAGGGCAUCCUUCGAUGAUCAAAGGAGCAAUCCGCUAUGAGAUGGGCCCGCGGCGCAUUAGCUAGUUGGUGAGGUAACGGCUCACCAAGGCGACGAUGCGUAGCCGACCUGAGAGGGUGAUCGGCCACAUUGGGACUGAGACACGGCCCAGACUCCUACGGGAGGCAGCAGUGGGGAAUAUUGCACAAUGGGGGAAACCCUGAUGCAGCAACGCCGCGUGAGUGAUGACGGCCUUCGGGUUGUAAAGCUCUGUCUUUGGGGACGAUAAUGACGGUACCCAAGGAGGAAGUCACGGCUAACUACGUGCCAGCCGCCGCCGUAACAC
rnacentral:rRNA from 1 species